UAAAAGAGCAAGAGACCGGUGUCAUCAGAAAAAAAGAGUGGACAUUGGACUGCCUUUGAAAGAUGGAAAGACCUGAUGAAGAAAAGGGGGAUCGAAAGAGACGCCGACUUUGCUUGCAUCCUUCGAGACAGCUAUGAGAGAGAACUGAGAGCAGUGACAUCAACUCCAAUGAAGGGAAAACCCUCUCAAGUACUAACUGCUCCAGCAGUGUCCAUUCUAGCGGGACAGACAGAGAUGAGCAUCUUGGUGCAAUUGCAGAAGCCCCUGAAAUUGAGAGCCUUGACCAGAGCUUAUAUGACAUGAGCAUCGUGGAGGAGGAUGUGGAUGAAAAUGUGUUCAAUGACCUGAUGAACAGUGUAAUUGACUGGACAGAUGAAGGAUCUGCAUUCCAGCAAAGAGAUGAUGGAGAGAAGGAUGACAUCUCCGACGAAGAGUAUCUUCCACCAAUUUCUAUACGAAUGGGUGGAGCAUUAAAGACAGUGCAGUCUGUUGACCAUGUUGAUGUAAUUGGGCUUGAUGAAACUGUGCAUGACCUUUCUGCUCAUGAAGACCCUACUGACGAGCCCUUGCCCAGUUUUGAGUUGCCCAAUUCACCAGACCCUUUGAAGGUCCAAUGUGUAGAUGACAUCAUCAGUAUUUGAGCGGCAGUGUUGUAUGAGACCUGCUUGAGGCAGCUUCUCACACUAAUGAAGCUGCUGGUGGACAGAUGUACAGGUGUUCUCAGGACCGGUCUGGUGUGUGACAGUGUUGCCCCCUUUCACAUAAACAUCACUUCUAAGGGCACAGCAAUGAGUGCAGAAUGGAUGGAAGUCUUGGUAGUAACAACAUAAUACAACUGUUAGCAAUACCAUGCAAAUGUAUUGUGACAGCCAGUGUUGCAUAUUUCAAAUCCAUUUAUCAAUCUUCUCUGAUUUUUAGAUUUGUCCCAAUGGACAUAGCCUGUGGAAAUGGAAUUCCCAGCCUGUGAUGAAGUUUGGGAUGCAAGCAGGGGAUUUCCUUCUUUCCACCAACAUUUUGUUGUCAGGGAAUAACUAUGGGAAGGUUUCCCUCUUGUUUAAAUUCAUGAACAUGGGCAUGGUGAACCCAAACACAUUUUGCACAAUCCAGGACACAUACUGUGUUGACGCAGUAAAGGAAUACUGCAAGAAAGGAAUUCCGAGGCCAUCUGUCGCCUUCAAGGGAAAGACGUUGUGGUGAUAGGGGAUGGCAGAAAUGAUUCACCAGGGCAUUGUGCCCAGUACUGCAGCUACACCACGAUGGAGCUUGACACCAAGGAGAUCAUUCACGUAGCCACAAUAGACAAGCGGCAGACAUCGUGGAACUCCAACAUCAUGGAGAAGGAGGGAUUUAUCCAGACUGUGGACAAGCUUUCCAGAGAGUUAAAGCUGGUGGAGAUCUGCACAGAUGCUCAUAUCCAGAUUGGAGCCCUUAUGAACCCAGACAAAGGCAGAUACAAGGACCUUGGAAUUCAUCACAGUCUGGACAUGUGGCACGG